CCUACGGGAGGCAGCAGUGGGGAAUAUUGCACAAUGGGGGAAACCCUGAUGCAGCGACGCCGCGUGAGUGAAGAAGUAAUUCGUUAUGUAAAGCUCUAUCAGCAGGGAAGAAAAUGACGGUACCUGAGUAAGAAGCCCCGGCUAACUACGUGCCAGCAGCCGCGGUAAUACGGAGGGGGCAAGCGUUAUCCGGAUUUACCGGGUGUAAAGGGAGCGUAGACGGCAGUGCAAGUCUGGAGUGAAAGGCGGGGGCUCAACCCCCGGACUGCUCUGGAAACUGUACGGCUUGAGUGCAGGAGAGGGAAGUGGAAUUCCUGGUGUAGCGGUGAAAUGCGUAGAUAUUAGGAGGAACACCAAUGGCGAAGGCAGCCUGCUGGGCUUUUACUGACGCUGAGGCUCGAAAGUGUGGGGAGCAAACAGGAUUAGAUACCCCAGUAGUC
rnacentral:rRNA from 1 species